AGAGUCCUCUUCUGAUUCCUAGGCACUUGUUUAUUCUGGUUAUCUCCUUAAUUUAUUAGGCUUUUUAAAUUUGAUGACCUCUGAAUCGGUUUUGAUUAUUAAAUGGUUAUAGUUUAUGGAGGAACCAUGGACGGUAGAUUGGAGUCCUCCUCCUAACCCCGCUUGGGGUUGACAUGGUUUUGUGAUGCUCGAAACUCGAUUGUUCUCGAACCAGUCAGUAAGAUUAAACAUUGACAUUUGUGGGUUCUUUCUCGAUUGUUCUCAGCUCUUCGGUUCUCUUCUUUUUGAUUAGUGAUUACAUGUUAACUCUGCCCUUUUGUGUAUAAUG